GAUGAACGCUAGCUACAGGCUUAACACAUGCAAGUCGAGGGGAAACGACAUCGAAAGCUUGCUUUUGAUGGGCGUCGACCGGCGCACGGGUGAGUAACGCGUAUCCAACCUGCCCAUCACUUGGGAAUAACCUUGCGAAAGUAAGACUAAUACCCAAUGAUAUCCCACGAAGGCAUCGGAAUGGGAUUAAAGAUUUAUCGGUGAUGGAUGGGGAUGCGUCUGAUUAGCUUGUUGGCGGGGUAACGGCUCACCAAGGCAACGAUCAGUAGGGGUUCUGAGAGGAAGGUCCCCCACAUUGGAACUGAGACACGGUCCAAACUCCUACGGGAGGCAGCAGUGAGGAAUAUUGGUCAAUGGGCGAGAGCCUGAACCAGCCAAGUAGCGUGCAGGAAGACGGCCCUAUGGGUUGUAAACUGCUUUUAUAAGGGAAUAAAGUGGGUCACGUGUGACUUUUUGCAUGUACCUUAUGAAUAAGGACCGGCUAAUUCCGUG
rnacentral:rRNA from 1 species